AUUGAACGCUGGCGGCAGGCCUAACACAUGCAAGUCGAACGGUAACAGGAAGCAGCUUGCUGCUUCGCUGACGAGUGGCGGACGGGUGAGUAAUGUCUGGGAAACUGCCUGAUGGAGGGGGAUAACUACUGGAAACGGUAGCUAAUACCGCAUAACGUCGCAAGACCAAAGAGGGGGACCUUAGGGCCUCUUGCCAUCGGAUGUGCCCAGAUGGGAUUAGCUAGUAGGUGGGGUAACGGCUCACCUAGGCGACGAUCCCUAGCUGGUCUGAGAGGAUGACCAGCCACACUGGAACUGAGACACGGUCAAGACUCCUACGGGAGGCAGCAGUGGGGAAUAUUGCACAAUGGGCGCAAGCCUGAUGCAGCCAUGCCGCGUGUAUGAAGAAGGCCUUCGGGUUGUAAAGUACUUUCAGCGGGGAGGAAGGGAGUAAAGUUAAUACCUUUGCUCAUUGACGUUACCCGCAGAAGAAGCACCGGCUAACUCCGUG
rnacentral:rRNA from 1 species